AAAAAGUGUAUCUGCCGUGACUGGCACAGGGAGGGGAGGAAUAUUCUGACUUCCCUACGGAAUCGAUAUCAAGAGAUUUCGGAUGCAUAAUUUUUACUUUGGGGCAGCUGUGGCCUACUGGUUACGGCUUUGGAGUGCCCUU